rnacentral:rRNA from 1 species
AUUGAACGCUGGCGGCAGGCCUAACACAUGCAAGUCGAGCGGAUGAAGGGAGCUUGCUCCUGGAUUCAGCGGCGGACGGGUGAGUAAUGCCUAGGAAUCUGCCUGGUAGUGGGGGAUAACGUCCGGAAACGGGCGCUAAUACCGCAUACGUCCUGAGGGAGAAAGUGGGGGAUCUUCGGACCUCACGCUAUCAGAUGAGCCUAGGUCGGAUUAGCUAGUUGGUGGGGUAAAGGCCUACCAAGGCGACGAUCCGUAACUGGUCUGAGAGGAUGAUCAGUCACCCUGGAACUGAGACGCGGACAAGACGCCUACGGGAGGCAGCAGUGGGGAAUAUUGGACAGUAGGCGAAAGCCUGGUCCAGCCAGGCCGCGUGUGUGAAGAAGGUCUUCGGAUUGUAAAGCACUUUAAGUUGGGAGGAAGGGCAGUAAGUUAAUACCUUGCUGUUUUGACGGUACCAACAGAAUAAGCACCGGCUAACUUCGUG